UCUGCCCCUAGAGUCUUUGUAGGUGUGGCUCCUGUGUCACGUGUAUGUCAGCAGGUAACAGUGAAGAGAGAGGCUGUGUCUGUGCUCAGUGUUCUGACCUGUAAACAUCUGAAGAGUCCCUGAAAAA